rnacentral:rRNA from 1 species
UACAGAGGGGGCAAGCGUUAUUCGGAAUUAUUGGGCGUAAAGGGCGCGUAGGCGGCCAUUCAAGUGACGGGUGAAAGCCCUCGGCUUAACCGAGGAACUGCCUGUCAGACUGGAUGGCUUGAGACCGGGAGAGGUGAGUGGAAUUCCCAGUGUAGCGGUGAAAUGCGUAGAUAUUGGGAGGAACACCAGUGGCGAAGGCGGCUCACUGGACCGGAACUGACGCUGAGGAGCGAAAGCCAGGGGAGCAAACGGG